rnacentral:rRNA from 1 species
UACGAAGGGGGCUAGCGUUGCUCGGAAUGACUGGGCGUAAAGGGCGCGUAGGCGGUUUGGACAGUCAGGCGUGAAAUUCCCGGGCUUAACCUGGGGGCUGCGCUUGAUACAUCCAGGCUUGAGUGGGGAAGAGGGUCGUGGAAUUCCCAGUGUAGAGGUGAAAUUCGUAGAUAUUGGGAAGAACACCGGUGGCGAAGGCGGCGACCUGGUCCUUUACUGACGCUGAGGCGCGAAGGCGUGGGGAGCAAACAGG